rnacentral:rRNA from 1 species
UACGGAGGGAGCUAGCGUUGGUCGGAAUUACUGGGCGUAAAGCGCACGUAGGCGGCGAUUCAAGUCAGAGGUGAAAGCCCGGGGCUCAACCCCGGAACUGCCUUUGAAACUAGAUUGCUAGAAUCCUGGAGAGGUGAGUGGAAUUCCGAGUGUAGAGGUGAAAUUCGUAGAUAUUCGGAAGAACACCAGUGGCGAAGGCAACUCACUGGACAGGUAUUGACGCUGAGGUGCUAAAGCGUGGGGAGCAAACAGG